GGGAAUGUGGCUCAGUGGUAAAGUACUUGCCUAGCAUGCAUGAAGUCCCAGGUUCAAUUCCUCAGUAUCA
rnacentral:tRNA from 1 species